AACGAACGCUGGCGGCGUGCCUAAUACAUGCAAGUCGCACGUGAAAGUCCUUCGGGAUGAGUAAAGUGGCGCACGGGUGAGUAAUGCAUGGGAACGUACCUUUAGGAGGGGGAUAACCACGGGAAACUGUGGCUAAUACCGCAUAACGACGAGAGUCUAAAGCAGGCCUCUACUUGUAAGCUUGCACCUAUAGAGCGGCCCAUGUCCCAUUAGCUAGUUGGUAGGGUAAUGGCCUACCAAGGCGACGAUGGGUAGCUGGUCUGAGAGGAUGAUCAGCCACACUGGGACUGAGACACGGCCCAGACUCCUACGGGUGGCAG
rnacentral:rRNA from 1 species